UUAAAUUUAGCAUUUAUGUGAAUGAAAAGAUAUCUCACCAACUAAUGUCAGUUGUGUGAUAUACAUAAUAAAUUUUUCCACCUAUGAUCUCUGAUACUUAUAUAUAGCUUCUAUACAUUACACACUGUAUGCUAAGAAAAUUCUUAGAAAACCCUAGCUUUUCUUACCACAAAAAAUGAACAAGGAGCAAAAACUAUUGGCUAUUUUAGCCUUGUUUUUCUACACUAUGGGUACGGCUGCCAUUGGCAAUGGCAGCCGCGUAGUGUGGCAUGUUUCCACUACUGCAGGGCUACUGCUGGUCGGAGCACUUCGUUUGAUCUUCCACCAUUUCCCUCCACCAGCAGUAUUGAUUCUGCAAUGGCACAGGAUUUUUCAUCUCGUACAUGAUGGCCUCGGCCUUCCCCUUUUUCAAAGAUAUAAGAUUUAAGUUUUGUAUACUGAUAGUGUAAGAAAAUUUUAUAAUAUUAAUGCGAUUUAACUUUUAUUAUGGCAAGUUAGUAUCAUUUUAUUUUUGUGUUACUAUAUCAGAUUUGAUACGAAGAGUUACGGGUUGUUGUAUUGUCACUACUACCUGAUGGUGUAAAAAUAUAUAUCCACUAUCCACAUAUAUAACUUUAAAGUUUGAACUCAAUAGUUAUAUACUUUAACGCUUCAAACUUCUCAUGAUCGAUUGUUUUUAUCUCUGUGACAUAUAAGUAUCUCAAAAAUCUCAUUUUCUUUUGAGCAAUUUUCAGUUGCUUUAUAAAUAGAAUAUCCAAAGGAUUUCUUUGUUCGUUAAUGAAAGGUCAGACGUAUCCAACAGUACAUCAUUUAGAUUCUUGCCGAGGCAAUCCAUAUAUUCUGAGAGAUUGGAAUCAUCAAACUCAUAAUUGUACCUAAAACUGGUAUUACCUUGCUGGAAGGCGAUAUUGCAAAAUCUACUUGGAACGCUUUUGGGAAUCCUUUCGGCAUUAGGUGGGAUAAUAUAGCUAUCAGAGUUAUGAUGCUUAGGUGGUGGAGCACCAAACCGAUCAAUAGUAUACACCAACGCAUUCUGAAGAUCACACCCACAAUAAUAUGCUGGGAAAUAUGGAAGGCGAGAUGUGCUAAAUAAGUAUGGACUAAGGAAACACUAUCACCAAAUCCUUAUGCAAGUUAAUGGUAGUGAUAACUUUGGAGCUAUGUUAAUGGCUUUUCAUGUUUCGAUGGGAAGAGACAGUAGCAACCUUGAGGAGGCAAAACAUACGUCUUGGUUGUUGAUAUGUUACAAGGUAAAAGCACACCUCCAUCAGAGACGCAUGAUACAAUUCAGAAAGCGAAAGAGCUGAUCAAUCAAAGAAAUUGUAGGAUUCAACAUUGAUAUAGAGAAUCUAAUCAAGUGGCAGACGCUUUGGCAAAAUGGAGUAUUGGAAGAGCAAAUCGAAUUAUAUCCUCGCUGAAUGAAUUAAAUGCUAUGGCAAAGAGGCCGUAUAGAUUGGACUUGAUGCAGACGGCUGCUGUUAGACAUGUCCAUAGAAGGAAUCAGUUUUUUUUAAAGAAGUGUUUUAUCUGUUUUUUCUUCUCUGUUAUCAUUUUUGAUGCCCUUAAAGGAGAAGCACUUUCUCAAUUUAUGCGUGUUAUCUUUGUACAGGGGCUAUGCUAAUUCUAUCGGUAUCAUUCCAAUUUUAUCGGAUGUCCCCGAUGGAGAAGUUGUUUUCUUUUGAACAGUUUAAUCAAACUUGAUGCUACUUUGAUCAACUCCAUUCUUGAUCCUUCUUAGGUGAUCUAACAUAUCCUCAAUGUCAUUUUGAGCCAUUUCAUGUAGAAAAAGUAGAAAAUUCCUCCAAGUUCAUUAAACUCUUGGAGUAUUAGUUUCAUUAAUUAAUAGCAACAUUUUUAAUCAUGUCUUUCAAUAUUUGAUCUUGGCAUUGCAUAUAAGACUUUAUACAUGCUGUUCAUGUAUUAUAAUUCUGAUUAUUUAGCUUUUUUGACUCUGCCAACUACUUGAAGAUCAUUCAUUGUGCUAGCUCUGAUACCAAAUGUAGAACUCAACACACAGGAAGCUCAAUAAUGGAGAAGAACAAAUAACAGGAAAGAAAGCAAAAAAGAGAACCUAGAAAACGUUUGGAGAGAGAGUUGUUGGAUACUUUAUUUCAUACGUUAAGUGGCCUUGGCUUACACAUGUUACGUUAUAGAAUCAUAUUCCCACUAGACCAAUUCCCCUAAAUUCUAGGAAACAAAAUCUGCACUAAUUAAAUAACACAGUAAUAACUAACAGCUAGAAAAUAGGUACCGCAAAACUUAGUUAAAAUAAAGAAAAUAGGCUGAUGUUGUACGACUUUAACAAUAUUUCUGCUAGAGGAUAUUUUCAAGACUUGAAUCUGUGACCUCGUGAUCACAUGUCAACAACAUUACCACAACCCAUGUUGGUAAUUUUGUAUGCUGUACCAAUACAUAGAAAAGCAAAUAAGGAAAUUUAAACAACAGAACACAUUGAUAUGAAAUAUCACCAGAAAAGAAAAUGAAAAGGACAGAAAACAGAAAAUAUUCAAUGUAAUACUAAUAAAAAAAAUGAAGCUUUAAAUACAAAUAUUAAUUGCAAUGCUUCUUACUCAUUUGGUAACUGCAACACAUUGUCUCAAUAAAUGUUAUCCCUACUUAAACUCUGUUAUGAAUUUAACCAAGAUGGAGCUCCUAUUUGCAAAGAUGUCAAAUUACAUUUGGUACCCCGAGAAGAUGUCUAUAUAUAGUAGAGGAAUAUAAUCUAUUAGAGAAAUGCUANNNNNNNNNNNNNNNNNNNNNNNNNNNNNNNNNNNNNNNNNNNNNNNNNNNNNNNNNNNNNNNNNNNNNNNNNNNNNNNNNNNNNNNNNNNNNNNNNNNNNNNNNNNNNNNNNNNNNNNNNNNNNNNNNNNNNNNNNNNNNNNNNNNNNNNNNNNNNNNNNNNNNNNNNNNNNNNNNNNNNNNNNNNNNNNNNNNNNNNNNNNNNNNNNNNNNNNNNNNNNNNNNNNNNNNNNNNNNNNNNNNNNNNNNNNNNNNNNNNNNNNNNNNNNNNNNNNNAAAAAAAAAAAAAAAAAAAACCCGGUGCACUAAAGCUCCUGCUAUGCACAGGGUUCGGGGAAGGGCCCCACCAUAAGGGUAUAUUGUACGCAGUCUUCCAAGACUUGAUCCCGUGACCUCCUGGUCACAUGGCAGCAACUUUACCUGUUACUCCAAAAACCUCAUAUCUUACACUUUUGAGUCCACAAAAUUUAAAUUUAGCAUUUAUGUGAAUGAAAAGAUAUCUCACCAACUAAUGUCAGUUGUGUGAUAUACAUAAUAAAUUUUUCCACCUAUGAUCUCUGAUACUUAUAUAUAGCUUCUAUACAUUACACACUGUAUGCUAAGAAAAUUCUUAGAAAACCCUAGCUUUUCUUACCACAAAAAAUGAACAAGGAGCAAAAACUAUUGGCUAUUUUAGCCUUGUUUUUCUACACUAUGGGUACGGCUGCCAUUGGCAAUGGCAGCCGCGUAGUGUGGCAUGUUUCCACUACUGCAGGGCUACUGCUGGUCGGAGCACUUCGUUUGAUCUUCCACCAUUUCCCUCCACCAGCAGUAUUGAUUCUGCAAUGGCACAGGAUUUUUCAUCUCGUACAUGAUGGCCUCGGCCUUCCCCUUUUUCAAAGACCGCAUUCCUUUAUAUGAUCUUUUUCUGGCCAUGUCUGCAGCAACCGCGAGUUGUUUCUGUGUGCUGAUGAUUGUCAGGCCUGUGACUACUGAUUUUGGUUUACUCGUGGGGCUUCCUUACGUUUGUUUCUCUCUUGCCUGUGAUGUGUUUGGACUAAUUGGAUGGCAAUCUUACCUAGCCAUCAGCUCUUGCUUGUUGAUGGUGUAUCUUCGACAUCGAUAUAUAAUACGAUGCAGGAGGGCAUAAGGUUCAAGAUUAUCAAUGUUGACCUAGAGUACUAGAAUUAUAUUUCUACCUAAGUAAAUACUAGCUAGUAAGUACUAGUUUUAUCACACAAAAGUUGUUUAGUAAGUUGUUGCCUAAUUAGUGUCAUUACUAAGUGUUGUUUGUUGGUAACAAAAAAUUACUACUGGUAGUAUUAUGGUCAGUGGAGCUCCUAUUUCUGUUUUUUUAGAAUUUUUUAUCAAAAAAAGUCAUUUUUUAAAUUAAUUCGCCAAAGUAAUAUGUUUUUUGAAAACUUUACAAAUUUGCUAUAAACAUUGUUGUCAGUAACGUAUUAGGUUUUGAUAAAAUUAAUGGACAAAACAGUGUUAAAGUAGGAGGCGCUACUGAAAGUAACGUUUUUGGCUUAAAACGUUACCAAUGGUAACGAAAUUCGGCAACUUUGCCACAUCAGAGUACUCUGCAAAGUUGAUUUGGCAGAGUGGCAGAAUUUGUUGUGGUAGAGGUGCCGAGUCUCGUUACUGUUGGCAACGUUUUAAUCCAAAAACGUUAUUAUCAAUUACGAUUCCUAUUCUAGCGUCGUCUACGGUUCAUUUUGGUCCAUUCAUUUUUUUUCUUAAAACCUAAUACGUCAUUGCCAACAACGUCUAUACUAGUUUUGUAAAGUUUUCAAAAAAAACAUAUUACUUUAAUGAAUUGAUUUAAAAAAUAGCUUAUUUUGGUCAAAACUUCUAGUUAUAUUUCUACCUAAUUAAAUACUAGCUAGUAACUAGUAAGUACUAAGUUUUAUUACACAAGUUGUUUAGUAAGUUGUUGCCUAAUUAGUGUCAUUACUAAGUGUUGUUUGGUUAGUGAAAAAAAAAAUUACUAGUAGUAUUAUGGUCAAUGUAGCUCCUAUUUUUUUUUUUGUACUAUUAACUUGUCUACGAUAUACAACUGAUGACAUUUUUUAAAAAUUCGAACAUAGUACAUCAGAGAUGUCUAACAUUCCCUAAAAAAAUGUCUGAUGAAUUAGCUAGUAGUAUUAUAUUUUGGCUGCUUCGCACUGAGCUUAUUUAUGUGGUAAAGAUAAACUACUAGAUUCGAUAUGCACUUGAUAACAUUUUUAAAGAACCCGAGCAUGUAGGAUUGGACAGCAGGGUAUUCAAUCAAUAAAAUUAUUCAUGCAAACGAUUAUUAUUUCCUUUUCACCACAGGAACUUAAAAGCUUUAAAUCUUGUGAAAACAGUCAACAAUUUAGAAGAAUAAUUUUUAAUCCCAAAAUAUAGCAAUUUUCUAUUAUGUGUACUAAAAGGGCAAUCGAUGCAAUAAAGGUCUCGCUAUGCAAGCACAGGGUCGCAGAAGUGUCGAACCACAACAUCUAUUAUAUGCAACUUUAUCUUACAUUUCUGUCAGACGUUAUUUCCACGGCUUAAACCCGUAAUCUUCUGAUUGCAUGACAACAACUUUCUAUUAUAUAUAUUAUAUGCACUCUCUUGUAAAAACCUUAAAUGUUUCGGAUAAUAAAAGAUUCAUAAUUAAUGGUCUCCCAAGUUAUAACAAUUUUGUGACUUCAAUCUUUUUGGACAUCACUCGUCUUACUACUAUUUAUACAUUUUCAUUAUAAUAUAAUGUAAUAAAAUCAUUUCAUGAGUCAAUUUACGAUGAGUAUUAGAUUGAAUCUCUCUUAAUUAGAGGAGACCAUCACCUCAUGUCCUUGCAAUAAACUCUUUCUCCAUUCAUCAAAAUAAUUAAGCAAUAGAUAAUAUAUAUAUAAUACUAUUUCGACGAAAAAUUAUCAUUUACGAUAAUAUAUAUCUAGAUACCUGAAUAGAACAUUAGUUCAUUCGCAAGUUCUUCAACCUUAGUAUAGUAGUGGAAUGAUGAAUUUAUUUCUUACGCGCAUGGGCGCAAAUUAAAGUACUACUAAAAUAGAAGGUGGAAAAAAUUACAUGCAAGAUUAUAGGAAUAAAUCCCAUAAAUAUGUGGCUAAAGUAAUUUGAAGUGAUUUUUAAUUUUUUUUUGCUAAAAAUCUAACGAACAAUUAUUGGUUUCUCUAUAAACGAGAAACGAAAAAAACAAAUCACCUCCUUUCUCUCUCCUCAUUUCUGCAAUUUUCUGCAGAAAGAGGAAGAGAGGGGGAAAUAAGAAAGGGAAGAAUUUUUUUUUUCUUUUUCCAUAAUUUCUUGCAAACAAACAAACUUCCCAAAAGAUUGAAAAAUAUUGAAAAGGACCCAAGAUAUAUAUUUUAGCAAUAUAACUAAAAGCAAAAAAUCAACCCUUCAUUUUUUUUUUUUUUGGAUAAUCGUGGUGUCCGAGUCAGCCUACGUGCAUCUCGACUAGUUUCACAGGAUACCUGCGACCUUCCACUAGCAACAGGUACCAGGUAGCUCUGUCCAGCAAGGAAAAUCAACCCCUUUAUCUUAAAUCUACCAUUUUAUUUUUUGGGGGAUAUUUAUUGGUGGUUUUUAAGGUCAGCUUUUUCUCACAUGCAGGGGUUUUCAUUUGUUGGAAAGAAUUGGCUUUUGAAUAUUAAGAUUUUUUUAUCUGAUUAUUCCUAUCCAUUUUUAAUUAAAUGGGGGGAAUAGAUGAUAAUGUUCAUGGAGUUAUAUUAGCUAUAUCAUCCAGUAUUUUUAUUGGUUCUAGCUUUGUUAUUAAAAAGCAAGGCCUAAAGAAGGCUGGUGAAAAUGGAAAAAGAGCAGGUUAAUUUUUCUUUUACUUCUUCAAUUUCCAUAUAUGUUCAUUUCAUUAGUUUUUUUUGUUAGCAAUGUGGAUUGUUGGAUUAUGUUUUGUUCUUGUGGGGGUAGACUAUUCAUGGAUGUUGUCCUAACACCCUCCGGCAUAAAUGCAAGACAAGGUUGCAAACAAUAGAGCCAAUGUGGUCUGAUCGCUUCCCAAACCCUACUUAUAGAGACGAAGCUUAGUGCACCUGAUUGCCCUUUCAUGUUUGAAAAAUGAUAAGAGCCAAUGUGGUUUGGCCUUCCCCCAAGCCCUACUUAUAAGGCCAAAGCUUAGCGCACCUGACUGCCCUUUUAUGUCUUGCUCAUCCACAUGCUCUUCUAAUGGCCUUCACGUUGCUCAAAAAUGUCCCCUCGUUGUGUUGACAUACCGUUUUAAUGAGUUGAUUUCUCAUAUGAUCGCUUAAGUAAUCCCUCCCCCCUCCCCCCUCCCCCGGCGCGUUUUAAUUCAUAUAGUUAGAGACAUCUAGGUUACCUAGUUUUUGGUUUUGUAUUGAAAUUUUGGAUGUUAAAUCAUACAUAAACCUUUCUAACCAUAUGAUAAAUAUUGAUGAGGUAAAAUUUCUGUUAUUUGCUACCAUUGAAGAUUUUUCGCCUGUACAUAAUACAAUUUAUUCUUCUAAAGUUGUGCUGUCUUUUGUUCUUGUGGCUAAGUUACUAUGAUUACCAAUUAUGCUUAAUUUUGAACAGGUUCAGGAGGCCACUCCUAUCUGUUGGAACCUUGGUGGUGGGCUGGAAUGUUAUCUAGUAAGACACAUAACUCAUACUACUUUUUUUAUUAGCACGACUCGUACACCAUAUAGCCAAUCUCAACUUGCUUGAACUUGCCGUGAAAUAUUGAUAGUCCUAUCUUGGUCAAAAGCUAAUAACAUGUUAAGAUCUAUGAAAAUCUCACUAGAUAUAUGCUAAGUUGCACGGACACUCAACUUUUGAUGCCACACCCUAGUCGGACUCUCCAAAAAUACACAGCAUUUGGAGAAUCCGACACACACCUGUUGACGUUUUUGAAGAGUCUGAGCAACAUAGGAUAAUAUGCAUAUGUAAGAUUAUUCAACACAGGUGAAAGUAUUUCUAUCACAUUAAUACAUACAAAGACCUUGACUUAGAGAAAAAUGCAUGAAGAUGAUGGAAAUGGAAUGCUGUAAUUGCUAAUUUGAAAGAAGUAACCAGAGCAAUAGUAUCUAGUUUCAAAAUAUUUCAGGAACAGUCAGUUUUUCAGUUAUAUUUAACGCUAACCUUCCGACCUCUUGUAGUGAUUAUUGGAGAGGGAGCUAACUUUGCUGCUUAUGCAUAUGCCCCAGCAGUACUUGUGACACCCUUAGGGGCUUUAAGUAUGAUUGUCAGGUACGUCGUUAUGUAGCAUCACUGGGUAGAACUGUUAAUCAAGAAGCUUGUUUUAGCUAUGUUGCUCGAACUCACCAAAACUGCUGCCACACCUGUGUCAAAUACUCAGGAAAAUAAACUUACUUUUGAAAGAUCCGACAUGCACCUGGCAAUGUUUCUGAACAGGCCGAGCACAUAGCUCUAUAGUUCAAUACUGAUAUAACUUUCAUGUGCAGUGCAGUGUUAGCCCAUUUUAUUUUGAAAGAGAAGCUGCAUAUCUUUGGGGUAGUUGGUUGUCUCCUCUGCGUGGUUGGCUCCGUUUCUAUUGUCUUACAUGCCCCAGUAGAGAAGAAAAUUGAAUCUGUCAAGUAUAUCUGGCACCUCGCAACAGCGCCAGGUAUAUUCAAGUUGAUUGAAAGUUACUUUCUUUCGUUAUUCUCAGAGGUGAGUUGUGAGUUUAGGGAAGGUUCUGCCGGUUCAACUGAAUCCGUCAGAUUCAGCUCGAAACAGACACACACACACAAGUUGGGGGGCUGGCUAUAUGAAUCCUCAAUAUAAGCUCACUCAUGUCAUCAUCAUAUCAAAUUAAAAUAAAGUGAAAAUAAGUUAAAUAUAUGAAUAAUAGUAAUAAUAAUUAUAAUAUUAGAAGUUCUCUAACAAAACUAAAUCCUAUUCCACUAGUAGAUAUCAGUUAUCACCUAUACAGAUCUUUUUCUUCCAUUACGUCUUAGUUAAGUCUGCAUUGAUACCAAGAAAUCGUAGGUCUAUCGAGACAACUCAUCCUCUUUUAACACCUUCACUCACAACAAUUUCACACCCGCAAACCAGUGGAUAUGUAGGUCGAUGCAUGACAUGACCAAACCAUCUCAAGCGACCUUCACUUAUUUAUCCUCAACAUGUGCUACUUGCACCUUCUGGAGAAUAUCAUGAUGUUUAAUUUAUGUAUACAUACAACAACUUUCUUCUUAAAUAUAUAACAAGAUACACUCAUUUUGAACCCACUGACUCUAAACUCCAGAUUCGCCUAUCUAAACACUUGCUAACAUACAAAUUUUCCACAAAUACGUAAAUAUAGUGAAGUGAUGGACUUGCAAAUUACAAGCCAGAUACAUGCUAUCUUCCUUUAGCAUCAACAUGCUUUGUUUAUAAGAACUAACCAAAAGAGUUUUGAUAAGGGCAGGGUUCCUCACCUAUGCUGUCGCAGUUCUGGUGAUGAUACUUAUCCUCAUAAUCUGGUAUGUGCCUCGUUAUGGGCAGUCGCAUUUGGUUGUCUACAUCGGAAUCUGUUCUCUUGCGGGAUCUCUCACGGUCUGUUAUUCUCUUCCAUGUACUCUAGUAGUCCAUGGUUCCAUGUGUACAUUUUGUACAUAUUAUCUCACGGUUGUUUUCUGGUAUUUAUUCAGGUUAUGGGUGUCAAAGCAAUUGGAAUGGCUUUGAAGCUCACAUUAGAAGGACAAAAUCAAUUCAAGUAUUUUCAGACAUGGUUUUUUGUAGUAUAUGUCGUCAUCUUUAUUAUUUUGCAGCUGAACUAUUUGAACAAGGUACUCGUGUUGCCAUUCCUUUAUAAUUAUAGAGUUCUAAGUAAAAUCGGUUUUCUGAUAUGUAGAUUUGGUUUGUAUAAGUUAUUCAUACUUCUCAUCUUUCAUUUCACCCAAAACUAGUGCCUAUAUCUAUCGAUCAACUGCAUCUCAAUCUCAAGCUACUGGAGAUUAUAAAUGUUUACAUGACUAUUGUAUGUUCCGCAGGCACUUGACACAUUUAAUACCGCUGUGGUUUCCCCGAUAUACUACGUCAUGUUUACCACACUGACCAUUGCUGCAAGCAUGAUAAUGUUUAAGGUAAUUUGACAUUCAGUUUUGUAGUUAUGGCUAUUCAGAAUUCUUAGUUUUAUCAAUUUCCAUUUCUUUGAUAUCACAUGGAUAGGUUAUUUGUACUUUUGUAGCUGCAGUAAUAAAAUUAAUGCGGGUAAAAGGAUAAAUAGAUUAUAUCAAAUUCAAUGUUGUAAAGGGAAAGAAGCGAUGUUCGAGAGAACAGAAAGUUAUCUCGAAAUGUUGGGAAGAUGAACUUUUGAGGCAAACAAAAAAGAAUAUAAUAGUUGAAUUAUCGGCUUAUCUAUUUACUAAUGAGUAUAUACUGUUUUGUUCUCGAUUAAUUCAUUUGAUUGGAAAGUUGUAUUCCCACUUGUCUAAUUUUGGUGAUACAUUUUCGGAUUCAGGAUUAUGUUCAUCAGAAUGCAACCCAGAUAGUUACAGGGUUAUGUGGUUUUGGAACUAUCCUCUGCGGUACUUUUCUCCUUCACAAAACAAAGGACAUGGGAAGCAAUCCAUCCAAACUAUUACCGGUUGUUCAUCCAAAAUCAGAUGCGGAUUGUAAGCAAACAAGUGAAACGACAAAAGUUACUGUUGAGGUUUGAAGCAAAAAAAGGUGUAGGGAUUUGAUCCGUAAUUGCAUCCUCAAGAGACACUCGUAAAGAAGGAAGAUAGAAGUAUUUGAUAUUGGAUAAAACCGAAGGAGAAAAAACUUAGAAUUCCCAGAGAGGUAUCUAUGAUGGUUUUUGACAAUUUGAAGCCAAUGCUAUAUUAGAAGGACAUUUCAAUAUCAUUAUUUUUGUUGUUUUGACUUUAGAAAGAUUGUACAGUGUGAAUACUGGUAUCGAAAUUGACAUGCUUUUUUCAACUUAUAUACAAAUAUAAUAUGAGAAAGAACUGGAAUUUUGUUGUUCCAGCCGAGCAUUUCCUUGUGCAUAUAGGUCAUUAUCUGUAUCGUAAUUCUCUUGUUACUUUGUCUAGUUUGUUUUCAAUGUAUUUCUCUUCUUUUUGGUUUAAGUUAAUGUUGUAUGUUUAAUGGCAUAAUACAUAAACAAACACUUAAACUUGGCCUCAACCGGCAAGUAACCACGCCAACUUUGAGAAUGCACAUCUAGACACAAAAAUGUUAUUUUCCUUGGUUAAUUAGUAAGCUAGAUCCUUGAUAACCGAAACACUGUUUUAUGGCACCUGAAAAAAAAAGGGCAGCCCGGUGCACUAAAGCUCCCGCUACACGCAGGGUCCGGGGAAGGGCCCCACCUAUAGGUUCAAAAACAUUUGUGAUAACGGAACACAAUGUCAUGCACACGGUAAAACCUUUAUACGUCUAAGAAGAAAGGAAUGCUUCCUUCAAACACAUUUAUCAUGUGUGCCCUUUGACUAUGUUCAACUAAAAGUUCAUAAUUCUCUUGAUGGUGUUGUGUUCAUCUUCUUCUACUAAAAUGUUCUGAUUAAAACGCAAAUCAACAGAUCCGAAUCACACGAAUUGUAGAGGUGUUCCCUUAGUUAGGAAACCUAAACAUCAAGGACCGCAAUUCAAUUUAAGAACUUAAUGAACUGAAAUGAACAAGAAAGUGAUACAACAAUGAUACAAGUUUAAAGGUGUGCCUUAAACCAACGUUGUUAGAAAACCAGGGAGUCAAUAAUACAAGUCUCGAAGUUGUACCUUUGACCUGCAAUUUUAGGACACCUCUAACCAUUGAUGACUGCAAAACUAGACCAUCAUCCUAAUAUGGACUUAAUUGACCUAAGUUGCUAGGAUUCUCCAAAAGAGUUACCUUACCCGUGUCGGAUCCUUCAAAAUUACACUAUUUUUGGAGGAUCCGACACGCACCUGUGGACAUUCUUGAAGAGUCCGAGCGACAUAACUUAAUUCCAUAACAUAAAGAACUAUAGUCAAAAGCGGAAGUGGCACAACAAUCUCCAAUAACUAAUGAAAAUCGAACAUAUCAGAAUGAAUAGUAUUUAUUUUGUGUGUGUGUUUGGUGGGGGGGGAUAUAAGUACAACACCAAUAAACCCAGUGUAAUCCCACAAGUGGGAUCUGCCUAAUCCCUACCUUGUGAAGCUGGAGAGACGGUUUCAAAUAGGCCCCCAGCUCAAGUAAAAACAAUGAGGAAGAGAACAAUAACGACAACAAAUAAUACAAUUGCUGAAGCAAAAGAAAACAACAGGUAAUACUUUUGGGUUAAAUCAUGAGACCCCCCCACCCCCCACCCACCCACCCAAAAGUAAGAAGAAAAAAGUCAUGAGGCAAUAAUAGUCGAACAUAGCACCUUCAAAGUGGGCAAGAAUGUUAUAAACAUGCUAUAUCGAGUCAUCUAAUAUAGUAUAUGAAGAUAUAAUUAUGUCAUUGUGCUGUUCCGAACCUCACAAGCAUAAGUCUGCUGAAUUAGGCAAUUAGCAACAUUUGGUAAAAGGGCGAGCUGUUGAGAAGUACAAAUAUCUUUAUAGAUUUGAGCUGGACUUUGAUGCUCAUGUUUAGUUAUGUCAUCGGUCCUAAAGAUUAUAAAAACGCUGGGAUAUGAAACAAGAAACUCAAGAUAUGGACGUUCCUUCUAGAUUAUAAUUAUAUCAUGGAUGACUGAGAAACAUACAUCUCUUGUUUUUUGUGAUAGUUAAAACUUUGAUGGAAAAAUAGAAAAAAAAAGCUUAACUAAAAAAAUGAUGGCAUUAUAUAAAUAAUAAAUAAUAUAUGUUUAUUGAACAAUGGCGACAUCAAAAAUUAAGGCUGAGAACCCUACAUUCUAUAAAGGCUACAUGGAAAACGGGAUAUAGGAAAAAUUAUUCAAAUACAUAGGCUCUCUGAGUAGAAACCGAAAAUCAAAUAGUACAAAUUACAAGUUACUAACCUUUACACUUGUUCAUAUCUUGCAACGCUACCUGCCGCCUUCCCUCUUCAGGUGGUUGAUCUAAAUACUUAAGAGAGCUUGCUUUUAUUUAUCCAUCAACGAUAAAUUGGUCUUCUUGAGCAUCCUCUUCAACUCUUGCAUCAUCGUGAACCAUAUCAUUGACAUGGUGCAAGUUUUGCAUCAUUUGUGAUAGAUAAUGGUUGCUAGCGCCUGUGUGAUCCGAAAGCCCAGUUGGAUGGCCAGUCCACUGAGAAAAAAUUCCAAGAAGCUGACUAGUAAGAUUUUGAUGUUCGUGAAGUAUCCGAGUCUGGACCUGGCUCAUUUCAGCUCGAUGCUGACCUAACGUCUCGUCAAUCCUCUUCUUCCAGUCCGAUCUCCUCUUGUGCAUUCUUUCUUCGCGUUCUCUCUCAAAUAUAAGUUGUUCCUCUCGUCUUCUCCUCUCUCUCUCCUCACUUUCCUUCUCCAUUGCUUCCCAUUCUUGAAUUCUCUGUCUCUGCAACUUCUCCCUCGUUUUCUCCCUUUCCUCCCGCUUUCUUUCUCUUUCUUCCCAUUUUCUCUCACGUUCUUGUUCGAGGUCUAUUCUAAGACGUUCUCUCCUCUGCCUCUCCCGCUCCCUCUCAGCCUCACGCUGCUCAAACCGAGCUUCCAUUUCCUUUAAUUGUGACAACUGAGUUGCAAGAAAACCCCACACCCUCUUCUCCGCCCCUUUUAGUAUCUUCUUCCUCUUUCUUGUAUCAGAUCCCGUUGGUUCGAUGUCUUCAUAAACAUAUCCAUUGUCCGCAUCUUCCUUCAAAUGAUUAUUCCUCCUGAUACUACCAUUGAAAUUCUCAUCUCCUUCUUCCCCGUCAUAAUCAAAUUCCAUACCUGUAACACCAUGAUCAACCCCAUUAAUACCUCCAGUAAAAUCACCAUCCCCGGCAUGACCGAGAAGCCCAAACUGAACGUUCUCCAUAAUGUUACCACUCCCAUCAAAUCCCCCACCAUUUUCAUUUCCAUCUACAACUGCCAUGGGGUCGCUACAAUUGAAGACGAGUGUAUUGACAUCCCCAAACACUUCCUUAUAUCUUAAAAAAUUCGACCAAUGAGUUAUCCCCUCCAUCCAAUCAAACUCCUCCAUAGUACCCGACUCCUCCCCCGAGUUUGGUUUCUUAAUCUUCUGCUUCACCAGUGUAUACUGGUGCCUCAUGUUCUGCACUUUAGUGGACACAUCCUUCCAAGUCCAUUGCCAUGGAUACAUGAUCGGAUCACGAACAAAAUGCACAGAAUUCACAUGUAAAGCAAUAGGUUUAUACUUCUUUUCCCUCGUUUUCAUCUUGGCUAAAGUCCCAUCACAUAACAUCUCACCGUAUUUAUCAAUUAGAGUUCUUUCUUCCGCCUCGGUCCACUUUUUCCUUCUAGGUUGUGGCAUCAUCAAAUAAAGGUACCUCCACUAUUCAAAUCAACAAACUUUACGAAGCUCAAAAUCGCAGACACAACUACUCAAAUACCAAAAAUCGCUCCACUUCAACCAACAGACUUUUUGUUUAAACAACCGUGGUGUUCGGGCCAGCUUGCAAACACCUCAAAUGACUCCACGGGAUACCUGCAAUCAUCAAAUAAAAAUAACUCCACUACUCAAAUCGACAAACUUUAAGAAGAGCAAAGUCACAUACACACAAAAACUUAAAUACCAAAAAUCACUCCACUUCUCAACCAACAAACUUUUUCCUUCUUGAAAACUAACUUCACUACUCGAAACAACAAACUCUAACCAGCUCAAGAAUCACAUACACACCACCUAAAAAAGCAGCUCAGUGCACUAAAGAUCCCGCCAUGUGCAAGGUCCGGGGAAGGGCCGGACCAUAAAGGUCUAUUGUAUGACAGCAUUACCUUGCAUUCUGCCCGAGGCUGUUUCCACGGCUUGUACCCGUAACUUACUGUCAAAUACCCAAAUCCCCAACUUCCAGCUCUUCACCACAAAUCCAAAUAAAAUCAAUCAACACUACAAAUAAACCAAAAAAUUUCCAAGAAAAGCUAAUGAGUAUACCAAAAAUCACAGCUUUUUAACAAAUACCAAAAAUACCUCACUUCUCACAACCAACAAACUUUUUACUCAACACAACAAACUCUAAGCAGCUCAAGAAUCACAUACACAAACAACAACAACAUACCCAGUUAAAUCCCACAAGUGAGGUCUGGGGAGGAUAGAGCGUACGCAGACCUUACUACUACCUAGUCCAGGUAGAGAGAUUGUUUCCAAAAGACCCUCAGCCAAGUGCAGCAAACCUAGUUACAAAGAAGAUCAAGAACCACAUACAUAACAACUCAAAUACCCAAAAUUUCAGUUCUUUACCACAUCCAAACAAAAUCAAUAAACACAACAAAUGAACCGAAAAAUUUUCAAGAAAAGCUAAUACACCAAAAAUCACAACUUUUUAACAAAUACCAAAAAUACUCCACUUCUCAACCAACAAAUUUUUUACUCAACACAACAUACUCAAAGCAGCUCAAGAAUCACAUACACAAACAACAACAACAUACUCAGUUAAAUCCCACAAAUGAGGUCUGGGGAGGGUAGAGCGUACGCAGACCAUAUCACUACCUAGUCCAGGUAAAGAGGUUGUUUUCGAAAGACCCUCAGCUCAAGUGCAGCAAAUCUAGGUACAAAUAAGAUCAAGAAUCACAUACAUAAAUUUCAGUUCUUCACCACAAAUCCAAAUAAACUCAAUCAACACUAAAAUAACUCAAAAUCAAUCCAAGAAAGGCAAAAGGGCAUACUCAAAAUCACAACUUUUUAGCAAAUACCCAUACAAAAUCAAGAAAAAAUCUUGCUAUAUAUAUAUAUAUAUAUAUAUAUAUCAAAACAACCAACAAGUGUGAUAAAAAACUAACCUUUAAACCAAUAAUAGGCUUCUUGAAUUGGGAAAAGUAAAGAAGUGGGAUAAAGGGGAAAAUUUUUGAUGGAGAACUUUGAGGGGCAAAAAUGGAAAUUGGGUUUUCAAGGUUUUUGAUUGGAGGACUGAUUUGUGCAGUUAGUAGUUGAACUAUGUGAAAAGCAUUUGUUUCAGUUUACUGUUCAAUGAGAAGAGAUCAGUUUACAAAGAUUCCAAGGAGUUGAAGAGGAAUCAUAUUGUGAAAUUACUUUAUUGCCCCUAUGUUUUUCUUAUUAUUGUGUUUGUAGUAUUUCUUUUAAUGAUUAAUGAAAUUACUUCUGGCUGAGAAUUUUUUGUCAUUGAAUUUGAAGUUCAAUUUUUAUUAGUAGUCUUUUAAAAAAAAAAUAUGUUUUCGGAUAGAUCACGUGUAGUAUUAUUAUGUGGUAGUAUCAUUUUUGUUAUUGUCAGUUACUUUGUUACUAUCUAUAACUUUUUGGUAUAGAUGGUUGGUUUUGUCGGGAGCCGAGGUCUAUUGCAGUGGUGAACUCAGGAUUUAGGAGUCGUGGGUACUUGAGAGGUCUGAACACAUAUAUUGACACUCAAUGCGUUAAAGUUCUGCCUAGAAACCAAAGCAUUCAUCUAUUUUCUUAAUUUACUGGGUGCUUUACUAUAUUUUAUGCCAAUUUUAGUACAUUUUUUAUAUAAUUAUACUUAAUUUAUGUUAGAUUUAACAGAUGCCGGAGCACUCCGAAACUGCCCUUAGGUCCGCCUCUGCUGAUUUAUUAGAAAUCUCUCUACCUCAUCUCUGAGGUAGUAAUAUGGACUGUGUAUAUUUUUAGUAGUUUAUCCUUCUUAGAUCAUACUUUGUGGGAAUAUACUAGUCUGUUGUUGUUAUUAUUGUUGUUUUUCAGUAUAACAAUGGUAUCAGGAUCUGUUUUCACGCAUCGACUAAUUCAAUAAUACCUGAAAAAAUUAUUUUGGUAAUACAAUCAUGAGUCUUAGAUAUUAAUGGAGGCAAAAAUUAUUCUCAUUUGUUACGUUUUGAUGGACCGAGUCAUUUAAUGUUUAUGCUAAUGAAAAAUAUUAAGUACGUUAUGAAAUUAAUUAAGAUGUGCAUAUUCUGAUUAUCGAAAAAAAUUAAUAAUAAUCUAGAAUGUUGUUAUAGUGAAUAAUAACUACUAUCCUUCCAACUUAAAUUAAUAGUUAAAAUGUGUAAUGUGUUGGAUCAUUUAUAUCUAUUUUGCACAAUGGUGGUCUGUCUCUAAAAUAACAAUCGAUUACGACAAAUAACUCCAUAAUUCAUUUUAUCUUGAACAAUACAUGAAGUAGCAUAAGACAAUGUAAGUGAAUCAACUCAUUUUUGACAAAUAAAUCGUGUGCCACCACACAUAUUGUGAUUAGAGAUAAUCCUUCAGUACAUUUCGAAUUAUGAUCAAAGUUGCUACGACACACUCCAACUUUAUAGCCCCCACCCCUAAGUCAAUUUUAGUGUAUUUUCGUCACCUUUUUGUGUUGAUGUGGUAUUUUUAUUAUAUAAAAUAAAGUCCACGACAAAGGUGUCACGUCAGCUAAAAAGGUAUCACGACAACUAAAAAGGUUGAUAAAAAUACACUAAAAAUUAGUUCGGUGGACCCUCGUGAAGUUGAAGUGUGUCGUAGCAAAUUUGGUCAUAGUUCAGGGUUACUAAAUGCUUUACUCUUGUGAUUCUGUAUCAUGCUUAAUGAUUAAAACUAUAGGAAAAUUACUUCCAAAUAAAUAGAAACAACAAGAUGUAUAGGUAGAUCAACUCAUCAAGUUUUCAUGAGAAACAAAAAAAAUUAUGUAUCUAGAAUGUUGGUAUAGUGAAUAAUUAUAACUACUGUCCUCUUAAAUUAGUUAAAAUUUGUUGAAUCAUGGAUGUAUUAUUUUAUCUAUUUUGCACAAUGAUGGGCGGUCUCUAAAAUAACAAUCGAUCAAGAUUGUUAUAAAUCGGAUAGAAUAAGCAAACCACAAGCAAAAGGAAAAACAAGAACACAUAAAUUUACGUGAAAAUUUUUGCGGAAACAAUCACAUAAGCAAUAUAGUGGAGAGGAGUACAAUGUGGAGAGGAUAGUCUCAAUUUCGUGUAUACGAGAACAACCCGAAACAACCCACUAAACGCACUUAUAUAAUACGUGCAUACAAAUAAGUUCUAGAUCGAAAAACAUACAGGUCCAUGUCGGGCCUCUCGACCCGAUCCCUACGCUACCACCACAGACCCCAUGAAAUAUCACAAACAUGGAUCGCACCACAAAUUUUUCAGGAUCAUAUCAAUAAAAUUUGGGUCACAACUCUAACAAAGACAUAUAAUUUUAUAAUUCAUUUUAUCUCGAGCAAUACAUAAAGUAGCAUAAGACGUGUAAGUGAAUCCACUCAUCUCGGACAAAUAAAUGGUGUGCCACCACACACAUUGUGAUUAUGUGUCAUGACUAAAACUAUAGGAAAAUUACUUCCAAUUCCAAAUGGAUGGGGAACAUAAUUCCAAUCCCACAAACUCAAAAAGCAAUAGGAGAAAAAACUAAAACAUGAAAUAACUUUUAAUGCAACAAUAAAAACAAAGACGUAUAGGUAGAUCAACUCAUCAAGUUCCCAUCGGAAACAGAAACUUCAUCACGCGAUAAAAUUAACGCAUCAUCCCGCCGCCACUUGACAUCAUCCUAACAUUGGACAAACCACCUUUGCCAUUAGCAUUAGCUGGAGAAUUAGCAAAAUGCUUAGCAAUCUCAGGAUUUUCUUCCAUAAUCUUCUUGAUUUGAUCUUGAUUUUGAAUUUCAUCACUUGUUGGUAACCCUUUUUGCUUUUGUUUUUGAUCAAACAUCAUUUUUUCAACUGCUGAUCUUGUUUCUAAGUCCAAUUCUGACAGCCUACUUGGCUCUGGCUCAGCUUUUUGUGUGUCAAUUUCUGGUCCAUUUUUGAACAAACUUUUCCACCAAUCAGAACCAUUCCUUUUUGUCAUCAGAAUUGUUACUUGUUUUUGAUCUUCUAAACUCCAAAAACAUUCAUCAGCUUUCACAGGCUCCAAUAGUUCACCUUGUUAGCAAAAUGUAACAAGUAAAAAGUAAGACGAAGUGGUUAAAAGAGAUAAUAAGCACCCCGUACCCCUCGUACUAUGACCAAAAUUGCUAUGACACAUCCCAACUUCACAGGGGUUCUAUUAUCUAUGAACUCACUUUUAGUGUAUUUUUGUCACUCUUUUGCACUGAUGUGACACCUUUAUUACAUAAAAUGAGACCCACAUCAAGGGUGUCAUGUCAGCUAAAAAGGUUGACAAAAAGUGUCACGUCAGCGGAAAAGGUUAACAAAAAUACGCUAAAAUUUAAUUCAAGAGUAAUAGGACCCCUAUAAAAUUGGAGUAUGUCGUAGCAAAUUUGAUCAUAGUACUCUAGUUAAAAAACACGUCUUUAAAGAGAUAUUGCUCGUAUAACAAGGGUUGUGACAAAGACAUUGUAUAGUGCAAGUUAAGUUUGUUAGUAUCUGCUAUUUUGUUACUAUCUAUUGUUUCUUGUUUAUAGAUGGUUGUUUUUGUCGAGAGUUGAGGUCUAUCAAAAAUCUCUCUACGUCACCUCUGAGGUAGUAAUAUGGAUUGCGUAUAUUUUAGUAUUUUACCCUUCUCAGACCAUAUUUUGCGGGAAUAUAUUAGUAUGGUGUUUUUGUUGUUGUUUUUCAAUAUAAAAAUGGUGUCAGAGUCUGCUUCAUGCAUCGACUAAUCCAAGAAAUAUCCGUCACCUCCCACCAACAACAGAUUUUCACUAAUACAACAAAUUCACCCUGUUAGGAAAAUAUAACAAGUAAAAAGUAAGACGAAGUGGUUAAAAAUCGUCUUUAAAGAGAUAUUGCUCAUAUAACAAGGGUUGUUAUAAAGACAUGCAUAGUGCAAGUUAAGUUUGUUACUAUCUGUUGUUUCUUGUUUAUAGACGAUUGUUUUCGUCGGGAUAUGGGUUCUAUCGAAAAUCUCUCUACCUCAUCUCUGAGGUAGUAAUAUGGAUCACGUAUAUUUUAGUAUUUUACCCUUCUCAGAUCACAUUUUGUGGAAAUAUAUUAGUAUGUUUGUUGUUAUUCAAUAUAACAAUGGUGUUGGGGUCUACUUUCACGCAUCGACUAAUUCACGAAAUACCCUUCACCUCCCACCACCAACAGAUUUUCACUAAUACGAAAAAUUCACCUUGUUAGAAAAAUGUAACAAAGAAAAGUAAGACGAAAUGGUUAAAAAUCAUCGUCUUUAAAGAGAUAUUGCUCGUAUAUUGUUUGGAGAAAUAUAAACAAGGGUCGUUACAAAGACAUUGCAUAGUGCAAGUUAACUAGUUAAGUUUGUCAAUCGAUAGGAAAUAUAUAGACAUAUAUAUAUAUAUAUAUGAAAGAUCACUAAAAUUUCACUAGAAAAGAUCAAUUUUUGAAAUCAUUUUCAAAAGUACAAAAUUAUCUAUUGAAUAUAUCAAAUUUAAAUUCUCGAUCUACCUCUUACUUACCUACUUUUAUACGAAGACGUGAUGUUACAAAGUUGAAAAUAUCAAAUCUUUUAAUGUAUAAAGCAAUAAUCUUAUAAUUUCAUGUAUGUUCAAUGGUGGAUUUAGUUGAGUUACAAAAGUAUAUGUUCAGCUGAUUUCAAUUUUUUAAUUAGGGAAAAGAGUCAGAACUAUAUCUAAAUUUUAGCGAAAUUUAUUGUAACGCGCCUCAACUAUGCGGGGGUCCUCUGACCUCCUCGACUAUUUAUUACCGUAUUUCUAUGGCAUAUAUUUGUUCAGCUGGACCACUUCAGACCCUUACGCGCCCUGGUGCGCGUGUAUUCACGCAGUGGUCCAGCUGGGUAAAUAUAUGCCACAAAAGUACGAUAAUAAAUAGUCGAGGGGGUCAUAGGACCUCCGCAAAGUAAUGCGUGUAUGUUACAGCAAAUUUUUCCAAAGUUUAGGCAUAUUUCAAACCUUUUCCCCUUUUAAUUAGCAAACAACUCAGAUAUAUACGUAGAAAAUUUACUAAAAUUUCAACAAAUAUCAAAUCUUGAAUCCGCUUCUGGAUAUGUAUAUAAACAAAAUAAUAUUUAAUAACACACCUUCAACAAUUGGUGGUUGAUUUUUGAGACCAAGUUUGAUGGAAUUGUUCUUGAUAUCCACAGCUAAAAAUGUUGAUUUUGUACCAAGUGGCACUGAGACAUUAAUAGUAACAUCUUGAAGUGUUUGUCCCCAUGUAUAAUUCUCCAUAUCAAGCCCAUUAAAUUGAUUUGGCUGUAAUUUCUUAUUAUUAUUAUUUUGUUCUUCUUUUUUUGGUUCAUUAGAAGAAGAAGAAUUAUUUGAUUCAUUUUCUUUAAUUUCUUCUUCUUCUUCUAUAGGUUUUUUGGCUUGUGAUUGAUUUUCUCCUUCAGUGUAGUCUGAAAGAAUUGCCAUUUUUUUUGGGUGAUGAAAAUGAUUUUUGAGUAAAUUAAAAGAAAAUUAGUGAAUUGUUGCGAAAAGUUUUGUAAUAAAAAGAGUGUAUUUAUAGUGAAUUAUUAGAGAAAGAAAAGGAAUACUUAGUCUUAAUAACAACAACAUGCCGUAAGACUCGUGACUGAUUAAAUUAUAGCCUAAACAUUAAAUUUGAAAUGUUUAGCAAAAUCUAUAUUUUUGUAUUAUGUGGUGGAAUGGAAAGUAUUCGUUCAUUUUUAAUCAGAGGUUUUCAGUAAGAAUCUUAGAUAUAGAACUGAUUGUCUUUGUUAGGGGAGCUUAUGUGGAAAUUUCAAAUACGAAUUCAAAUUUAGUCGGGUCGAAAUGCGGGUUUGAGGCAGAGGGAGAGUAUUAAAUACGGGUUAGGAUUAACCAACCCAGUAUCUCUUGUUUAGAUCAUGUAUUUGUAUCAGAAAACUCAUUAAAUGUGUAUAAAUAUUUAAUUGCAAACAAUAAUUAUAUAUGAUGUCUAUGAGUUCGAUGAAAAAUUCGAAACCCAUAAACUCUAAAUUUUGACUUUACCUCUGAUGGGACUACCGAACACAUGUCACUAGACAAUGAGAAGACAAAAAAAUGUCUAAUAAAAUUUAAAGUUCUAUAUUAAUUUUAUGAAUUUCAAUCAUAUAUACAAAAUAAUCUUUGUCACAAAGCAUUUUACUUUAUCCCAUAAUGUGAAACUUUUCGACAUGCAAUAGGAAUUAGUAGUAAUUUUAUGGAAUUUAUUUGCAUAGUUAGACUGUUAGGAUGACUAUAUAUGAUAAAGUCUUACAACAUACGUGUCAUUAAUUUAACCUUUUCUCAAAAUAAUUAAUUAAACGAAAAUUAGUUUCCAACUCCCAAUCCAUUAUGGAUUCAAAUUUCUAUUCCUAAUAAACAAGGAUUCUUAUUAUAUUCUUACACCCACUAUUAUAUUCUUACACCCAAAUUCUCACAUCCCAUUAUACAUAUAUUUUGUUCCCAAAGACUCAUAUUAUUCACGUAAUUAUUUUCAAGAUUCAAACCCUAAAUUCUCAUAUCCCCUUAUACAUCCUUCGUUCUACAAGUUCUUAUUAAUUAUUCUAUAUUUUAUUCACGGAGAAUCAUAUUAUUCACACAAUUAUUUUCAAGACUCAAACCCCAAAUUCUCACAUCCCCUUAUAUAUUCUUCAUUCUACAAAUUCUUGUUGAUUCUAUAUUUUAUUCACAGAGGAUUGUAUUAUUCACGUAAUUAUUUUCAAGACUCAAACCCCAAAUUCUCAUAUUCCCUUAUACAUAUUUUGUUCACGAAGGAUCAUAUUAUCCACGUAAUUAUUUUCGAGACUCAAAUCCCAAAUUCUCACAUCCCGUUAUAUAUUCUUUGUUCUACAAAUUCUUGUUAAUUCUAUAUUUUAUUCACGAAGGAUUGUAUUAUUCACGUAAUUAUUUUCAAGACUCAAACCCCGAAUUCUCAUAUUCCCUUAUACAUAUUUUAUUCGCGACGGAUCAUAUUAUCCACGUAAUUAUUUUUAAGACUCAACUCAAACCCCAAAUUCUCACAUCCCUUUAUACAUUCUUCGUUCUACAAAUUCUUGUUGAUUCUAUAUUUCGUACCCGAAAGAUCAUAUUAUUAUAUUCAAGACUCAAACGCGAAAUAUCUGUACAUCAUAAUCUCUACAAUGGGAAUUUUCUCAUAUUACAAAGAAGAAGCACAAGAAAAGCUUCUUGUAGAACCAAACAAAGCCAAUGGACAUGACAUGGCUAAUUAUUCAUGGGGACAAACACUUGAAGAAGUGACCAUAACUAUACCAUUGCCACAUGGAGCAAGUGUAAAAAACUCUUCCUAUUUUAGUAUAUCAAUAGAGAAUAGUAAUUACAUCAAAGUUGGAAAACAUCUUCAACCACUAAUAAUAAAUGGUCAACUUUACAAGAAAAUAAAAGCUGAUGAAUGGAAAUGGUCUUGUAUUUCCCAUGUUAAAAAGGAUGAGAUUUGCAUUGUUCUUCCAAAGGAGAAAAAAGUUUGGUGGAAAAGUUUGUUUAAGGAUGGUCCACAAAUUGACACACAAAAGUUUGAGGGCAAUAAAUGGUGGAUUUUGAUACCAAAAUUAUGGGAGAAUUGGAAAAGAUACAUUUUUGGCUAGUUAUAUUAUUAUGCAAUUUGCUAGUUCGUGAAGUCUGUACGAGUAGUGAAGAAGUAUAGAACGCUUUAGUUGAUUAUGAGUCUAUCAAGUCUGUACGAGUAGUGAAGAGGUAUAGAACACUUAAUUAAUUAGUUGAUUAUGAUUUAUUAAGUAGACGCUUUAGUCAAUCUUUGCGCUUUAGUCAAUCUUUGCUACUGUAAUUUAGUGGUCUUUUGCUUGAUUUUCGAUCACGUCUUUUUAUAAUAAUGUUGUUUGUUUGGAUAUUAUUUUCAUUUUUUAUAUCUUGUUAAAUCGUUUACAAGUCUUGUCGCAUUGGUAUGAAUUGGUGUUAUUUUCAUUCUAUCUAGCUAUUUAAUUUGUUAAAUCGUUUACAAGCUUUGUCGCAUUGAUAUGAAUUGGUGUUAUUUUCAUUCUAUCUAGCUAUUUUAUUUGUUAAAUUCUUCACAAGUUAAUACCAAUUUAUCAUAAUUAGAUUUAGAAUAAGCUUUAUGCGUUCAAAAUUUUAGGCUUCUUAAAGUACUUAUGUUCCAAUAUAAAAUAUUAACAAUUAAAGUAUACACCACACCAGUGGGAACCGAAAUAUGUCAUGGAACUUAAAAAAUUAUCAAAAUAUGCCAUGUUUUUAAAGUGUGACCAAAAUAGGCUUAACGGGGUCUUGGGCUCUAGGUGACAAAAGAGUUUUAAAAUGAAGUGUGGGUGACACAAGACUUAACAAUUGAGUAGAGGUGACAAUUAUUUUAUUAAGGAUUAAGAAAGUAAGAAAAAUUUGAAAAUAACCCAAAAGUUUUUUAAUUUACACUUUGAUCUAAUGUAAAACCUAAUAUAACUAGAAAUGGAGGGAAAAAAGGCACGUUUCUCUCUCUUCUCAUUUAUUGGAGUUUUCUCUCUCUUCGUGAUUUUUGUUGUUCAUUAUUGUUGUUGUUUUAUUCAUUAUCAUCGUCUUGUUCUUCAUUAUCAUCUCUUUUUGUUCAUCUUCAUCAUUUUCUUGUUGUUGAACAUUAUUGUUACCGCUACUAUUGCUACUUGAUCAAAUUUUUU
rnacentral:lncRNA from 1 species